rnacentral:lncRNA from 1 species
AACUGAUAAUGAUUAUUUAUAAAUCAUUUGCCAAUAUUAAAAGGAUAAAAAAAAAAGAAUGAGAAUACCAAUUGCUUGUUGAAUCAAACCAUUACAUGACAAGAUGCCAUAGUUGCUGUUAAGCUCGGCUUCUUCCCUCACAAUAUUAGCCAUCGAUUUUAGAACCAACCAUCUCUGUAAACACUAUCAGUGUUGUUGUAAAACUAAUUCAAGUGCUCUAAUAGCAUGUGCGUGUAUUUGAGACCAGAUUCUCAACAACACCGUUUUUUCUUUAUAUUUAGGGUUAGUUUCUAAAAACUAAUUAACAC